ACACGGAGGGCGCAAGCGUUGCUCGGAAUCACUGGGCGUAAAGCGGGUGUAGGCGGUCUAGCAAGUCAGAUGUGAAAGCCCACGGCUCAACCGUGGAAGUGCAUCUGAAACUGCUAGACUUGAGUGCCUGAGAGGGAAGUGGAAUUCCUGGUGUAGGGGUGAAAUCCGUAGAUAUCAGGAGGAACACCGGUGGCGAAGGCGACUUCCUGGACGGCCACUGACGCUGAGACCCGAAAGCGUGGGGAGCAAACAGCAUUAGAAACCCUAGUAGUCC
rnacentral:rRNA from 1 species